AUGGCAACAUUGAUGAUGAAGUUUGGAAUGGCUUCCAAUUCACCCUUCAAUGAAAAUGCUUUACCCGUACCCAUUCAAAGUGGUUUGACAGCAACAAAUGAACCCUCCCAAAACCUAUUUGGUCAAGCAGAUCCUAAAUCUCAAGGCUUGCCCGGACCUGGAAAUAUGAGCAGAGGUUUGGCUUAUUAACAAGAAUCAUCAAAAUCUCCCAUUGAAACAUCCUUUGGAACUCGAAGAGAAAAGAUUCUUAAAUAGUUUUCUGCAAAAUCCGGUUUUGAAGGAAGAUGAAACUAGCCUAAACGAACUGGUCGGGCGGUUGCGAACUGAAAACAACAUGCUUCUACUGGUGUUGAAACAUCAGCAAAUCAUUGAAGAAAUUAUGAAGGAGAAUCGUAAGCUUCAUCGGAUACUCAUGGAAGUGUCAAAAAUGAAGUCUGGGAAGAAUUAUACUUUAUUCAUCAUACUUUCAAUUAAGGUCCUUUAUAUAAACAAUUUCCUGUA